GGCGCACGGGUGCGUAACGCGUGGGAAUCUGCCCUCAGGUUCGGAAUAACAGCGAGAAAUUGCUGCUAAUACCGGAUGAUAUCGCGAGAUCAAAGAUUUAUCGCCAAAAGAUAAGCCCGCGUCAGAUUAGAUAGUUGGUGGGGUAAUGGCCUACCAAGUCUGUGAUCUGUAGCUGGUCUGAGAGGAUGAUCAGCCACACUGGAACUGGAACACGGUCCAGACUCC
rnacentral:rRNA from 1 species